AGUGUUUGCCACAUUUAGGAACCUACACUUGGAGGAAGGCAGACUCAUUCUGCAGAGGAAGCUCAGCAUGAUACAUACCAGACUUGCAGCACAUUAGGAUAUGAAUAUUUCAUAUGUUUACUAAGCAGUCUCUGUUACUUCUGCUGUUCAGCGAUGCAGAACUAAACCCUCCGCUUACAUUUCCCUCACUGAUCUGAUCGUCACCACACAGAUACGGCUGUAAAGUGCAAUGUACGCUUUGGUUUCCUCAACUAAAGAAAGCACUUCUAGGAUGGGUUCAGCCAAAGAGAGGACCCACAUGCUCAGGUACACGCCUUGAACAGAUGAUCAUCUCUUUACUAGCAGAGAAAAGCCAUGAGCUACCCAACAGAAACCGUUUCACUCUGGCAGACCAGUGAAUCUUAAAGCAGUUCUGUCACGGCAAUGACUUGGAGACACGUGGCAGAAUCCCACAUCAAACAAGGACUCACUGUUAAAGGAGUUAAAAAUCCCAGACUUAGGCUUACAUUGUAAGGAACAACUGAAGAAAGAGGUGGCAAAGCAUGAGGCGAUUCAAACACCGACCGCUUUCAGAACCCAGAAAUACUUCCAGAACCAUCUCAUGGCCAUAAACCCAGGAGGGUGGGGGGGGUCCAGGUGCACGCGUCUGCGCAGAAGCAGAUAUAAAGAAAAUCUGCCAUGAUGGUUUGCUUUUUAAUGAAGGAUUUUCCACAAAACAGGCUUGCUCUACAUGCUAAGUUCUUUAAACAGUUCAGUGACACAAUGUGCUAGCUACAUACACAACAGAUAAUAUAGUAAGAAAACACUCAACCUGAUGAAAAGUUAAAAUCUUCAUUAAUACACUGGAAAAAGUUGACAUAACUCAUGCCUUUUAAAAUCAAAAAUACAAAAAUUAAAUGUUUUCCUAAAAAGAUUUUCCUUAUUUUAAGGACUCAUUUGAAAAUGAAGCUGCAUGUAAUUUGUACAAUAAAAUUGUACAAGUAAA